UACAGAGGGUGCAAGCGUUAAUCGGAAUUACUGGGCGUAAAGCGCACGUAGGCGGUUUUUUAAGUCAGAUGUGAAAGCCCCGGGCUCAACUUGGGAAUUGCAUUUGAAACUGGAAAACUAGAGUGUGUGAGAGGGGGGUAGAAUUCCAAGUGUAGCGGUGAAAUGCGUAGAGAUUUGGAGGAAUACCAGUGGCGAAGGCGGCCCCCUGGCACAACACUGACGCUCAGGUGCGAAAGCGUGGGGAGCAAACAGGAUUAGAUACCCUGGUAGUCCACGCCGUAAACGAUGUCUACUAGCUGUUCGUGACCUUGUGUCGUGAGUAGCGCAGCUAACGCACUAAGUAGACCGCCUGGGGAGUACGGUCGCAAGAUUAAAACUCAAAUGAAUUGACGGGGGCCCGCACAAGCGGUGGAGCAUGUGGUUUAAUUCGACGCAACGCGAAGAACCUUACCUACUCUUGACAUCCAGAGAAGACUGCAGAGAUGCGGUUGUGCCUUCGGGAACUCUGAGACAGGUGCUGCAUGGCUGUCGUCAGCUCGUGUUGUGAAAUGUUGGGUUAAGUCCCGCAACGAGCGCAACCCUUAUCCUUAGUUGCCAGCACGUAAUGGUGGGAACUCUAGGGAGACUGCCGGUGAUAAACCGGAGGAAGGUGGGGACGACGUCAAGUCAUCAUGGCCCUUACGAGUAGGGCUACACACGUGCUACAAUGGUAUGUACAGAGGGAGGCAAGCUGGCGACAGUGAGCGGAUCUCUUAAAGCAUAUCGUAGUCCGGAUCGCAGUCUGCAACUCGACUGCGUGAAGUCGGAAUCGCUAGUAAUCGCAAAUCAGAAUGUUGCGGUGAAUUCGUUCCCGGGCCU
rnacentral:rRNA from 1 species